rnacentral:rRNA from 1 species
GACGAACGCUGGCGGCGUGCUUAACACAUGCAAGUCGUACGGUAAGGCCCUUUCGGGGGUACACGAGUGGCGAACGGGGGAGUAACACGUGAGUAACCUGCCCACAACUUUGGGAUAACGCUAGGAAACUGGGGCUAAUACUGGAUAUGUGCUCCUGCUGCAUGGUGGGGGUUGGAAAGCUCCGGCGGUUGUGGAUGGACUCGCGGCCUAUCAGCUUGUUGGUGGGGUAGUGGCCUACCAAGGCGGCGACGGGUAGCUGGCCUGAGAGGGUGACCGGCCACAUUGGGACUGAGAUACGGCCCAGGCUCCUACGGGAGGCAGCAGUGGGGAAUAUUGCACAAUGGGCGCAAGCCUGAUGCAGCAACGCCGCGUGCGGGAUGACGGCCUUCGGGUUGUAAACCGCUUUCAGCAGGGACGAAGCUUUUUGUGACGGUACCUGCAGAAGAAGCACCGGCUAACUACGUG